UAAAGGGCAGCAGGUUGCCGUCAAAGUCAUCCCCAAAGCGAAGAUGACCACAGCUAUUGCCAUUGAAGAUGUAAGAAGAGAGGUCAAGAUAUUGCGAGCGUUAACUGGACAUAAAAAUCUAGUACAAUUUUAUGAUGCAUAUGAAGACCAUGAUAACGUCUAUAUAGUGAUGGAGUUAUGUGAAGGAGGGGAACUCUUGGAUAGAAUACUUUCAAGAGGUGGAAAAUACACAGAGGAGGAUGCAAAAGCUGUCUUAAUACAGAUAUUAAAUGUUACUGCAUUUUGCCACCUUCAGGGUGUGGUGCACCGGGAUCUUAAACCCGAGAAUUUCCUCUUCACAUCGAAGGAUGAAAACUCUCAAUUGAAGGCCAUUGAUUUUGGAUUAUCAGAUUUUGUUAGGCCAGAUGAAAGACUGAAUGACAUUGUUGGUAGUGCAUACUACGUUGCACCCGAGGUUCUGCAUAGAUCUUAUGGGACAGAGGCUGAUGUCUGGAGUAUAGGUGUGAUUGCAUAUAUUCUUUUAUGUGGCAGCCGUCCUUUUUGGGCCCGGACUGAAUCUGGGAUCUUUCGGGCUGUUCUAAAAGCUAAUCCAAGUUUUGAUGAGGUGCCUUGGCCUUCUCUAUCUUGUGAGGCGAAAGACUUUGUCAAGCGUCUAUUAAAUAAAGACCAAAGAAAAAGAUUGACUGCUGCCCAAGCCCUAUGUCAUCCCUGGAUUAGAAGUUCUACUGAUGUUAAAGUGCC
rnacentral:misc_RNA from 1 species